rnacentral:rRNA from 1 species
GAUGAACGCUGGCGGCGUGCCUAAUACAUGCAAGUCGAGCGAACAGACGAGGAGCUUGCUCCUCUGACGUUAGCGGCGGACGGGUGAGUAACACGUGGAUAACCUACCUAUAAGACUGGGAUAACUUCGGGAAACCGGAGCUAAUACCGGAUAAUAUAUUGAACCGCAUGGUUCAAUAGUGAAAGACGGUUUUGCUGUCACUUAUAGAUGUAUCCGCGCCGCAUUAGCUAGUUGGGAAGGUAACGGCUUACCAAGGCAACGAUGCGUAGCCGACCUGAGAGGGUGAUCGGCCACACUGGAACUGAGACACGGUCCAGACUCCUACGGGAGGCAGCAGUAGGGAAUCUUCCGCAAUGGGCGAAAGCCUGACGGAGCAACGCCGCGUGAGUGAUGAAGUUCUUCGGAUCGUAAAACUCUGUUAUUAGGGAAGAACAAAUGUGUAAGUAACUAUGCACGUCUUGACGGUACCUACUCAGAAAGCCACGGCUAACUACGUG